rnacentral:snoRNA from 12 species
UGGUCCAUCCUAAUCCCUGCCAGUCGGCCUGUGGCCUGCCAGGUUUCAUUUGUGGCCCAGAAUAUUCUAGAAGCCUUACCUAGAGGAGUGAGCAAGGCUUCAGUGGGCUUGUACCAGAGGUGCUUCUAGACACUC